AUUGAGCGCUGGCGGCAGGCUUAACACAUGCAAGUCGAGCGGAGAUGAGGUGCUUGCACCUUAUCUUAGCGGCGGACGGGUGGGUAAUGCUUAGGAAUCUGCCUAUUAGUGGGGGACAACAUUCCGAAAGGAAUGCUAAUACCGCAUACGUCCUACGGGAGAAAGCAGGGGAUCUUCGGACCUUGCGCUAAUAGAUGAGCCUAAGUCGGAUUAGCUAGUUGGUGGGGUAAAGGCCUACCAAGGCGACGAUCUGUAGCGGGUCUGAGAGGAUGAUCCGCCACACUGGGACUGAGACACGGCCCAGACUCCUACGGGAGGUAGCAGUGGGGAAUAUUGGACAAUGGGGGGAACCCUGAUCCAGCCAUGCCGCGUGUGUGAAGAAGGCCUUAUGGUUGUAAAGCACUUUAAGCGAGGAGGAGGCUACUGAGACUAAUACUCUUGGAUAGUGGACGUUACUCGCAGAAUAAGCACCGGCUAACUCUGUGCCAGCCGCCGCAGUAACAC
rnacentral:rRNA from 1 species